GACGAACGCUGGCGGCGUGCCUAAUACAUGCAAGUCGAGCGGACAGAAGGGAGCUUGCCCCCGGAAGUUAGCGGCGGACGGGUGAGUAACACGUGGGCAACCUACCCUGUAGAUCGGGAUAACAUCGAGAAAUCGGUGCUAAUACCGGAUAAUCAUUUGAAGUGCAUGCUUCGAAUGUAAAAGAUGGCUCCGGCUAUCACUACGGGAUGGGCCCGCGGCGCAUUAGCUGGUUGGUAAGGUAAUGGCUUACCAAGGCAACGAUGCGUAGCCGACCUGAGAGGGUGAUCGGCCACACUGGGACUGAGACACGGCCCAGACUCCUACGGGAGGCAGCAGUAGGGAAUCUUCCGCAAUGGACGAAAGUCUGACGGAGCAACGCCGCGUGAGUGAUGAAGGUUUCCGGAUCGUAAAGCUCUGUUGUUAGGGAAGAACAAGUGCCGUUUGAAUAAGGCGGCACCUUGACGGUACCUAACCAGAAAGCCACGGCUAACUACGUGCCAGCCGCCGCGGUAAGAC
rnacentral:rRNA from 1 species